rnacentral:rRNA from 1 species
AUACGUAGGGGGCGAGCGUUGUCCGGAAUGAUUGGGCGUAAAGGGCGCGUAGGCGGCCCGGUAAGUCUGGAGUGAAAGUCCUGUUUUUAAGAUGGGAAUUGCUUUGGAUACUGUCGGGCUUGAGUGCAGGAGAGGUAAGUGGAAUUCCCAGUGUAGCGGUGAAAUGCGUAGAGAUUGGGAGGAACACCAGUGGCGAAGGCGACUUACUGGACUGUAACUGACGCUGAGGCGCGAAAGUGUGGGGAGCAAACAGGAUUAGAUACCCUGGUAGUCCACACUGUAAACGAUGAGUACUAGGUGUGGGGGGACUGACCCCUUCCGUGCCGGAGUAAACACAAUAAGUAUUCCACCUGGGGGGUACGACCGCAAGGUUGAAACUCAAAGGAAUUGACGGGG